CUUGCCCAGUGUCCCACACUUAAUUAUCUGCUUUACUUCCAAGUUCUAGGCACAUUCUACUUUUAUCAGUGUUUAUUUCUCAAAUGCAGUCCAACUAGAAUAAAGCCAUCCCUCUCUCCUCCCUUAUUCAGGCCUCUAUACUUCUUUUAAUAUGGUCUUGAGUGUCUUAGCUUUCAGAGAACUCUCCCUGUACCCAAGGCUUGUAUCUCCUCAUUUGGUUCAAUGCAGCAGUUUAUUUAUUCAUUCAUUUUCUGAAACUGGAGCUAGCUGGCUGGCAGAAUUUAAUCAGAAGAUUGUGUAGCUAUGGCAAGAGGCUGCCCAAAUCCAUAACUAUAAUGAGAGAAUGGGUGACAGGAGAAUUGGAUUAAAAGGCAGCUCGCUUUGCAAAGGGGGAAACACCAACUCCCCCUCCCUUCCACUUCUUACUGCCCACCUGUGAGAAGAAGAACCGAAACCAAAGGGGAAAAUAUGGAGGGAGAUCAGCCCUGAGUGACCCCAGGGAAUUUCUAAAGUAAAGGGGUUAUUAGACACGUGGAGUAUGUCUUGUUUGAGGGGUGGAGUCUCUGAGAGAAGAGAGGUGGGUAUCACAGUCAUAUGACAGAGAAGUGGAAUCAAGAACUGGUCAAGUCUAAGACUCUCUGAGAAGAACCCCAGCGCCUCUCUGCGUAUCCCCACCUGCUCUGGUGCCUGAAAUUUGUCCGCUUGGCAUCCAUCGCUCUGGCUUCACAACUACAGCAAUAUGCAUGCAACACUUAGGAACACGGAGUGGUUUCCACAUCUGUCUUCUUAUUUGAAUCUCACAGAAAUUCUGUGAGGGAUACACGGCAAGGAGAGAUGGUCUAGAGCAGGCAAUGUGAGCAAAAGGCUGGGGCCAAGAGGACCAGCUUGUUAUGGAGACUUGCCCUUGCCAAGUUUCGGUUUUCUCAUCUGUAAGUCAGAUAUAACAGUUCAUAUAGCUUGGGGCUUUGAUGAGGAUUAAAUAACAUAAUAUAAGUAAUAGUGCCUGGCAGAUGUUAAGUAACAUAUUUGCUAUUAUUAUUGUCCCCAUUUGAUGGAUGAGAAAACUGAGAAUUGGUUUCCGAAAGUGACUUGCCAGAGGCUGCCAGAGCUGGAUGGGAGCCCAGGUCUCCUGAUUUCCAGCCCUCUCUGCCUGCUCCAGCCCAUUGAACAGCGUCAACUCGUCUCCCUUCACAGUAAUGACAGUGCCAUCGGUGGGAGUGUGAGGAUGCUCUCGGAUUAGAAAGGGAAAGUCUCUUUGUUGUUUUUUGUAAAUGGGGAUUUACUUCAGGGUUAUUUGAAUGCUGCUAUGGUUUGUAGGACUUGCAGAUUCUAAGUAUCUUUUAAUUGGAGAGCAUUGCUUGAGGCUCCACGGCAAAGGUAUUUGGGUUUCUUUGUUUUAAACAAGAUGAAUAAACAAAGAGGAACUGGGUGCUGAGGGCCUUCAAGCACCGACGUUCUGUGAGUCUUGUUGGUCAUCUAUCACUUCUCACCACAAACCAGGUGGGGAAUCUAUGAAAGAAACGCAGCUUGAACUGGUCAAAGCAGAAAGAAAAAUUACUGGCCAACGUAAUGAGAAAACAAGAGUGGAGCUGAGCUUCAGGCAUGGCGAGAGGUAGAAAGAAAUGGUCUCAAAGCUCGGGCUGUCUGGUUCCAGCCCACACUUCACAACCUCGCUGCUACGCCAUGAGUCAUCGCGAAGAGCAACAUCACUUCCCUCUGACUGUGGGCGUUGCCACUCUCCUGAGCCUUCCUUGGCCAGGAGCGCCUCUGUGGCCCGCUUCACUCCCCAUCAGGGAUUAGCUGAGCCAUCUCUGAGACUGCAUGAUGUGCUGGUCACUGAACAUUGGAUGUCCAACUGCUCUGUUGAAGAAUAGCAUCAACAAUGAUGUGAAUUUUCUCUUCCAUUGUCCCAUUCAGUCCUAGAUUUUUUCAUUUCCUUCUUGUUCAAGAUAAUGAGGUCCUAUCAUGCCAAGCACAUGGAAACAUUAAAAUUUUGUCAGUCUCUGUUAAUAAUGAAUAAAUAUGUAUCAAAGGG
rnacentral:lncRNA from 1 species